GCGGAAGUGGCGGAACUGGUAGACGCGCACGUUUGAGGGGCGUGUGAGGCAACUCGUGGGGGUUCGAGUCCCCCCUUCCGCA
rnacentral:tRNA from 2 species